rnacentral:rRNA from 1 species
UACAGAGGGUGCGAGCGUUGUCCGGAAUCACUGGGCGUAAAGGGCGCGUAGGUGGCACGACAAGCCAGUGGUGAAAGCUCGACGCUCAACGUCGAGUCGGCCACUGAUACUGUUGAGCUGGAGCACUGUAGAGGCAGAUGGAAUUCCGGGUGUAGCGGUGGAAUGCGUAGAGAUCCGGAAGAACACCGGUGGCGAAGGCGGUCUGCUGGGCAGUAGCUGACACUGAGGCGCGACAGCGUGGGGAGCAAACAGG